CCUGGGCAGCACCUGGGGCUCCUCUGGGCUGAGCUGCUCAGGGUUUCUGUGUCCUGCUGGAAAAUGCUCUGAAAGUUUAGUACUUAUUUUUGCCUCCAGUGUGGAAGGACUUCCUUUUCCCCUGGAUGCUGGUGUUGUUCCUGUCCUCCUGGCUGGGCUCUGAUUUCUGAUGGUCACUAUAGCAACAGGAAGCAAAGAGAUGAAGAACUGGAAAACAUGCACUUCACUAUGACAAGUUCAAUUUACAGCCAGCUCAGCAACGCAACAAAUCUGUGUCAUAUUUAAUGAGAAGCUGAGCACAGCACAUCUCCUGCCUGUCCAACCCCCUUUUCCGUGUGCUCCCUGCUGUGAUAUGAGCACUACAGAUCAAGAGGACAAUCAGCUGGAGAACAAUAUGACAGCAGGAAACAUUCAUGACUCCAUGUUCAGGUGUUGGAGGAUGUGGAGCUGUUGGUGCCUGAGAUCUGAGCACAGCCCAAUGAGGGUGCUACAGGCAGGAAACAGCAUCCUGGGGAGCUCAGGGGUGUGGAUGACAACGCUGCCGUGCCUGGCUGUUCAUCAGGGUGUCACAGGAGGAUGAGGAGCAGCGGGAGGCAGAGCUGAACAUCCGUGCCCACAGCCCUGGUGCCAGCCCUGCCAGCCCCUCCAGUUGCAUGGGGAGAAGCCAAAGAGCAGAAUUGCCAUGUCAGCCAGUUUAACCUCCAGAAAGAGUCAGGAGAUUCACAGAUAUUGCCACUGGCAUUGGUCCUGAGGAAAACUGGAGAGAGAAAAGAAAACUCCAAAUUAUGCUGUAAACAGCUCGUUUAGAAAUGGAUGCUCACCAAAGGAAAAGGCAACACAAACCCCCAGGACAUUGUUUUCCAGACCAUGAACUGAUGCUUUUGGCUGCUGCAGAAGCUCCCCAUCUCUUCUGAAGCUGCUGAAAAGCCUCUGCCAGUGCCUUGAUGCUCUCCCCACAAGGGAAUUAAUCACUGGGAAGGAAUGGAGAGCACAGCACAAAGAGCAGGCAUGGUCCAGGCCUCGCAGGACUAAUUAUGCUCUUAAAGGGACUGAGUUGCUAAUUCAGGACGGUCACAGGAGCUGCUCUGGAAAUACCUGCAAGAGGUAGGAUUAUCCCUUACUGCCUCUCCACCUUCUCCUCCUGCACCUUCCCAAUGCCAGCUUGUUUUUUAUCAACUCACUGGAGAACCAAGACACUUCUCUUAAUGCAAAUAACCCUGAGCUGCAUUUACAUGAUAGGAGGAAUAAAGAGAGAUCAGUUUAAAGAAAGAUUAAUCUGGACACUGGGGAAGGCAGAGCAAGGCAGGAGUGUCCACCUACAACCAUCUGACAGGAAAAACCUGAUUUACCCCAGAAAAAUGACUCCACUCUUGUGUGUAAGUACACACUUGUGAUUUGGGAUCAUUAUUAACCCUUACUGUGGCUGGAUCAGCUCCCUAUAAUGCAGGUAGAACCCACACUUCAAAAGCUUAAAGUAAAUAGUUGUGAAGUGCCUGUGUUCCCAAGAAAAAGGUUUUUAGUGCUGGAAAAUCUCAGGUUUUAUGGGAAGCUGCAGUGUGUAAGCAACAGGCAACUGCAGCAACAAACAGGAGCUGCAAUUUAAUGCUAAAUAGUGAUACACUGAAUACAUUAUUAUAAAAAACUGACUCUUCUUCAGUGUAAUUACAGUGGGGUUUUUUACAUUAUAGGGAAGAGGAAACAGCCUGGUUGGGAAAUGAAGGUGGAUUUUUGCUCAUCCUGCUGCAAACCUGUAGGCAGAGGUGAAGCUCAGAAACUUGAGCACAACCAAUUUUAGAUUUAUUAAACCCCCAACAUGUGCAAAUAUGUAAUAGGAACAAGUAAUAACACUUUGAGAUAUUCUAUGAUCCCUCUAUGUAAUAAAUAUUUUAUUAGAGCAAUAGAAAAGAAUGCAUACAGAUAACCAUAGGAUACACACACAACUGGAAGUUCAAGGAUAAAUUUCAACCUUUUCAAUAUGAAACAAGGUACUGGGUACAUAUCUCAUGGAGAUAUAGAACUAGAAAUCAAGUAAUAAUACAAUGUAAGUGCAUGAAAAAUGGGCAGUACAGGAACCUGGACUAGAAUUUUCUGAAACAAGAGAAAGAGUCACCCUUUGUUGCAUGAAAUAGAACUAUUUACUCACUAGGAACACCUGGAUUUCCAUGUCCCACCCACCCCCCUGUUUGCAAGUGUCUGAAAACAACACUGGUAA